ACUCUGGGAUAAGCCUGGGAAACUGGGUCUAAUACCGGAUAUGACCUCGGGAUGCAUGUUCUGGGGUGGAAAGUUUUUCGGUGCAGGAUGAGCCCGCGGCCUAUCAGCUUGUUGGUGGGGUAAUGGCCUACCAAGGCGACGACGGGUAGCCGGCCUGAGAGGGCGACCGGCCACACUGGGACUGAGACACGGCCCAGACUCCUACGGGAGGCAGCAGUGGGGAAUAUUGCACAAUGGGCGCAAGCCUGAUGCAGCGACGCCGCGUGAGGGAUGACGGCCUUCGGGUUGUAAACCUCUUUCACCCAUGACGAAGCGCAAGUGACGGUAGUGGGAGAAGAAGCACCGGCCAACUACGUGCCAGCAGCCGCGGUAAUACGUAGGGUGCGAGCGUUGUCCGGAAUUACUGGGCGUAAAGAGCUCGUAGGCGGUUUGUCGCGUCGUCUGUGAAAUCCCGCAGCUCAACUGCGGGCUUGCAGGCGAUACGGGCAGACUCGAGUACUGCAGGGGAGACUGGAAUUCCUGGUGUAGCGGUGAAAUGCGCAGAUAUCAGGAGGAACACCGGUGGCGAAGGCGGGUCUCUGGGCAGUAACUGACGCUGAGGAGCGAAAGCGUGGGUAGCGAACAGGAUUAGAUACCCUGGUAGUCCACGCCGUAAACGGUGGGCGCUAGGUGUGGGUUUCCUUCCACGGGAUCCGUGCCGUAGCCAACGCAUUAAGCGCCCCGCCUGGGGAGUACGGCCGCAAGGCUAAAACUCAAAGGGAAUUGACGGGGGCCCGCACAAG
rnacentral:rRNA from 1 species